rnacentral:rRNA from 1 species
GACUUCUCGGUUGCGGCUAUAGAUUGCUCCUCGAGCGGACAGAUGGGAGCUUGCUCCCUGAAUAGUUAGCGGCGGAGGGUGAGUAACACGUGGGUAACCUGCCUGUAAGACUGGGAUAACUCCGGGAAACCGGGGCUAAUACCGGAUGGUUGUUUGAACCGCAGGUUCAGACAUAAAAGGUGGCUUCGGCUACCACUUACAGAUGGACCCGCGGCGCAUAGCUAGUUGGUGAGGUAACGGCUCACCAAGGCGACGAUGCGUAGCCGACCUGAGAGGGUGAUCGGCCACACUGGGACUGAGACACGGCCCAGACUCCUACGGGAGGCAGCAGUAGGGAAUCUUCCGCAAUGGACGAAAGUCUGACGGAGCAACGCCGCGUGAGUGAUGAAGGUUUUCGGAUCGUAAAGCUCUGUUGUUAGGGAAGAACAAGUGCCGUUCAAAUAGGGCGGCACCUUGACGGUACCUAACCAGAAAGCCACGGCUAACUACGUGCCAGCAGCCGCGGUAAUACGUAGGUGGCAAGCGUUGUCCGGAAUUAUUGGGCGUAAAGGGCUCGCAGGCGGUUUCUUAAGUCUGAUGUGAAAGCCCCCGGCUCAACCGGGGAGGGUCAUUGGAAACUGGGGAACUUGAGUGCAGAAGAGGAGAGUGGAAUUCCACGUGUAGCGGUGAAAUGCGUAGAGAUGUGGAGGAACACCAGUGGCGAAGGCGACUCUCUGGUCUGUAACUGACGCUGAGGAGCGAAAGCGUGGGGAGCGAACAGGAUUAGAUACCCUGGUAGUCCACGCCGUAAACGAUGAGUGCUAAGUGUUAGGGGGUUUCCGCCCCUUAGUGCUGCAGCUAACGCAUUAAGCACUCCGCCUGGGGAGUACGGUCGCAAGACUGAAACUCAAGGAAUUGACGGGGCCCGCACAAGCGGUGGAGCAUGUGGUUUAAUUCGAAGCAACGCGAGAACCUUACCAGGUCUGACAUCCUCUGACAUUCUAGAGAUAGGACGUCCCUU